UUGGACAUUCAUAGUUACUUGGGACAACAGUUUUAGCAGGGCUCUCUUUCUCCUUUCCUGAUCUCUCUGUUAAGCUGCCUGGCUCAUUUGAUAUUACAUCCAAAUUAUCAGCUGAUUGCUCUAUUGUUUUGGACAAUGCCCUGGGGCAUACCAAAAUGUGUCUGGAAUUGGUGAGUUCUUGGUCUUACUGACUUUAAGAAUGAAGUUGCGGACUUCUGCGGUGAUCCACCCUACCACAUAUUGUCUCCUAAUGGCCGUCCAGUUUAUCCUAGAGCCCUUGUAUGACACAGGCCUAUUGAAGCAUAGGAGAUGCCAAUAUUUUACCUCUUGGGUACUUUCUGUGUAGAAGAUUCAUAACAAGAACAAUACUUAUUCUGUAAUUCUUUAUAUAAAGCUAAAAGAAAAUGCAUUCUUCCAACAACUAAUGAGCUUGGAAGAGAACUCCAAACCCCAGAAGAGGCCUGUCACAUUGGCUAACACCUUGAUUUCCACCCACUGAGACCUUGAGCAGAGACUUCAGUUACACCCCACCCAGACUUCUGACCUGCAAAACUUAAGAAGAAAGCCCAAAGACAAAACCAGAGGCAACUGGCUGCUGCAUCACCCACCUAGUGGCAGUAGUGUGAGCUAUGGACAAAAGAUCUAAGUCUCCAGGACAAAGAGUUGUGCAGCUGCUCAUUUUCCUGUUGACUUCUGUCUAAGACUUGGAGAUGUUUGUAAGAUUGGGACCUACCUACAGAGGUAUCACACUCCUCUUGGUCUAACUCACUCUUGAACUGACAUUCGUGGUGA
rnacentral:antisense_RNA from 1 species